rnacentral:rRNA from 1 species
GACAGAGGAUGUAAGCGUUAUCCGGAAUGAUUGGGCGUAAAGCGUCUGUAGGUGGCUUUUUAAGUCCGCCGUCAAAUCCCAGGGCUCAACCCUGGACAGGCGGUGGAAACUACCAAGCUGGAGUACGGUAGGGGCAGAGGGAAUUUCCGGUGGAGCGGUGAAAUGCGUAGAGUAUCGGGAAGAACACCAACGGCGAAAAGCACUCCGCUGGCUGGACGUACUGACACUGACAGACGAAAGCUAGGGGUAGCGAAAGGAUG